AUUCUAAACUCAUUUAUCCCUCUCUGAAGAUCGGUUGAUGAAAUUUUCGCCUUCAGUUUUUGUGAGCUCAGGCGAUUCCACUCGAAAUGGCGAUCCUCGAACAAGACCAGUUGGCUUCAUUCACCACAGAUCGCAUCAUUCGAGCUCCUCGUCUUCUAGAAAACGAGAUUCGGAUCUUCAAGGAAGAGGUGCAAAGGACGAAUUUGGAGUGGGAUUUUUUCAAGGAAAAAAGUAAACGAGGACCAGGAGAAGAUUAAACUUAAUAAGCAGCUACCUUAUUUGGUCGGGAAUAUAAUUCUGGAAAUGAACCCAGAAGAUGAAGCUGAAGAGAUGGUGCAAAUAUUGAUCUUGACUCACAAAGAAAUCGAAAAUGUGUUGCGUUAAACGCACCUACUCGCCAGACAAUCUUUUUACCUGUUGUUGGGAUUGUUGAUUCCAACAAAUUAAAACCUGGUGAUUUAGUUGAGAGUUACCUGAUCUUGGACACUCUACCAUCUGGGUACGAUUCUAGAGUCGAGGCAAUGGACGUUGAUGAAAAGCAUUAGAGGGUUGGAGAAGCAGGCAAGUCUCUAGCUUUCUCUAGGCAUGCCUUAUAUGAACAAUGAACAUGCAUUUGUUUUCGUCACAUAAUUGAGCAUGUAUCUACCCAUUUAUCAUACAAUUCCACACAUUCUUUUUACGCAUAACUUUCAUUUUAGACCAUAAAAUUCAAUUUUAGUGAUUAGAAGGUUGAAUGUA